rnacentral:rRNA from 1 species
GAUGAACGCUGGCGGCGUGCCUAAUACAUGCAAGUAGAACGCUGAAGCUUGGUGCUUGCACCGAGCGGAUGAGUUGCGAACGGGUGAGUAACGCGUAGGUAACCUGCCUGGUAGCGGGGGAUAACUAUUGGAAACGAUAGCUAAUACCGCAUAACAGUCGACAUUGCAUGAUGUUGAUUUGAAAGGGGCAAAUGCUCCACUACCAGAUGGACCUGCGUUGUAUUAGCUAGUUGGUGAGGUAACGGCUCACCAAGGCGACGAUACAUAGCCGACCUGAGAGGGUGAUCGGCCACACUGGGACUGAGACACGGCCCAGACUCCUACGGGAGGCAGCAGUAGGGAAUCUUCGGCAAUGGACGGAAGUCUGACCGAGCAACGCCGCGUGAGUGAAGAAGGUUUUCGGAUCGUAAAGCUCUGUUGUAAGAGAAGAACGAGUGUGAGAGUGGAAAGUUCACACUG